rnacentral:rRNA from 1 species
CUACGGGCGGCUCCAGCAAGGAAUAUUGUGCAAUGGGCGAAAGCCUGACACAGCGACGCCGCGUGGGGGAUGAAGGCCUUCGGGUUGUAAACCCCUUUUCUCAGGGAAGAAUAGUGACGGUACCUGAGGAAUAAGUCUCGGCUAACUACGUGCCAGCAGCCGCGGUAAUACGUAGGAGGCGAGCGUUAUCCGGAUUUACUGGGCGUAAAGCGGGCGUAGGCGGCCUUUCAAGUCGGAUGUGAAAUCUCCUGGCUUAACUGGGAGGGGACAUUCGAUACUGUUGGGCUUGAGGACAGCAGAGGGAAGUGGAAUUCCCGGUGUAGUGGUGAUAUGCGUAGAUAUCGGGAGGAACACCAGUGGCGAAGGCGGCUUUCUGGGCUGUUUCUGACGCUGAGGCCCUAAAGCGUGGGGAGCGAACAGGAUUAGAUACCCCCGUAGUC